CAGUAGCCACGGUAAUACGAAGGGUGCAAGCGUUACUCGGAAUUACUGGGCGUAAAGCGUGCGUAGGUGGUGGUUUAAGUCCGUUGUGAAAGCCCUGGGCUCAACCUGGGAAUUGCAGUGGAUACUAAGUCACUAGAGUGUGGUAGAGGAUAGUGGAAUUUCCGGUGUAGCAGUGAAAUGCGUAGAGAUCGGAAGGAACAUCUGUGGCGAAGGCGACUAUCUGGGCCAACACUGACACUGAGGCACGAAAGCGUGGGGAGCAAACAGGAUUAGAUACCCCCGUAGUCCCUGUCUCUUAAAC
rnacentral:rRNA from 1 species